CGAAGGUGGCAAGCGUUACUCGGAAUUACUAGGCGUAAAGGGCAGGUAGGUGGUUCGGUAAGUCUGUUGUGUAAGCUCCCGGCUUAACUGGGAGAGGUCAACGGAAACUACCGAGCUUGAGUAUGGGAGAGGGUACUGGAAUUCCCGGUGUAGCGGUGAAAUGCGCAGAUAUCGGGAGGAACACCAAUGGCGAAAGCAGGUGCCUGGACCAUUACUGACACUCAGCUGCGAAAGCUAGGGGAGCAAACAGGAUUAGAUACCCUGGUAGUCCUAGCUGUAAACGAUGCACAUUAGGCGUGAGGGGUAUCGACCCCCUUCGUGCCGACGCUAACGCAUUAAAUGUGCCGCCUGGGGAGUACGGCCGCAAGGUUG
rnacentral:rRNA from 1 species